rnacentral:lncRNA from 1 species
UGUUGUGCUUUUCUAGCUUCAGUUAGGUUGAAUCUGUGUGAUUCAAGCGAUCUGCCUGAUUUCUUGCAAGAUCUUAGUGAUCUAGUUUUUUGGUUCCUUGGUGGAGCGUGACUUGCUGUGUAAUAUGCACUUGAUUCUUAAUGAUUCGAGAGAGAGCAAUUAGGGUUUUAGGGAGAUCUUUGUGACCCAAUUUGAUUCCUUUGUGGAAUAGUGGUUGGCUAUUGUUGUUCUUCAUAAGAUAAGUCUCUGUGACCUUUUUUUUUUUUUGUAAUUUCUGGAACAAUUCUUGUAAACUUGAUGCCUAUUUUUGAGGCUUUAUAGUGCAAUCGAGCUCUAUCCAUUUUAAUUAAUGCUCAACAGGGGAUUAGGCUUAGAAGUGGUUGUCGAACCUCUGAGGCUUCGGUCGAAAAAUCUCUGCAUUGAUUUUCUUAUUUUCUACACUUUUACUGUUUUUAUUGUGGUUUUACGAGUCUUUGUUAAUUCUUAGAUGCUCCUCGAACUUUUUAGUGGUAUCAGAGCAAUCUUGGACUAUUGGAGCGUCUUUGAUUCUUGUGAGUUGAUUGGAUUCUAAAACCCGCUUCAAGUGGAAAUUGAGUUUUAUCAAACUCAUUGGUGAGAUCUUUCUUGCAUUCUAUAAUUAAUUUUUACAGUAAGGUCUCCUAAUUUUUCCCUUGAUUUACCUUGUACUAAUAAACCCUACUGUGGCUGGUCUUUGUCCAAAGACUCGAGAAGUUUUGGGAAUCUAAGAUAACAACACUAGUAGGAGUGCAAUUGGAAGGUCUUGCUGAAGAAGUUAGUUGAGGCUUAGGAAUUGAUGUCUCUAUUCUUUGUGAUUCUACAUUUUAUACUUAGUGUCAAGUGUUUACUGUUUUGAGAAAAUAGUACAAGUGCAUAGGUCAUUGACCCUUGAUUCCCUAGACUGCCUGCAAUACUCUUAUUGUGACCCAAUUUGGUCCCCAUUCUCAUUUUUAUUCUUUUUCUCUUUCUUAUUUUCAACCACAAAAUCUUCCAUAAAAUAAUAUUAUACGAAAAAAAAUUUCAUUCUUUUUUAACCACACAUUUAAAAAAAACACUAUUCCAACCAUUAAAACUUGGAAAUAAUGGGGGACCAAACGGGGGCUGUAUGUCCCUGUGUGUUCUUGAAAUCAAACUUGUGUGCUGUGAACUAUCUUGGUGAAUCUUGUCAUGAUACCACUAAGUUUGAAAUGAACAUGUAUGAUGGGAGGGGGGACUUUAAUAUAUGGAGCUAGAAAAUGAGGGCUAUCUUGAUGCAAAUAAAAUGUGCCAAAGCCUUAGAUAACUCUUAGCCAGCUGAAAUAUUUGUUGCUAAAAGAACUGAGUUAGAAGAAAUAACAUGGGGUACUAAUUUUUGGUACCUUUCAGACAAUGCGAUCAGGUCUAUAGGUGAAACAAAAACUGUUGAAGAGUUGUGGACCAAAUUGAAAGCCUAAUAUGAGCCAAAAACUGUUCCAAAAAAAUGUUUUUUGCUAAAAUAAUUCUUUUCUUUCAAAAUGGACCCUUCUGUUGACUUAGAUGAGAAUUUGGACAGAUUUACCAAAUUGACCCAGACCUUACCAACUGUGAUGAGAAAUUAUCGAAAGUUCAGUUGGCAGUGGUCUUGUUAAACUCCAUUAGUGAUAGGCAUAUAGACCUCAAGAAUGCCUUAAAAUAUGGAAGAGAUAAGCUUACCAUAGAAAUCAUUAUAAAUGCCUUAAGAAAUAGGGUUCUUGGAUUAAAAUCAGAUUCUAUCAACCAUCAAAAUGGAGAAAUUUUUUUCAUAAAAGGCAAAAUGUUGGUAAAUCUAAUUUUCAUUGAAAAUUUCAAAAUGACCAUAAGAAAAAGAAUAAUGACAAAAUGAAAUCCAAAUCUAAGGCAAAGGGAAAGAAAUGUUAUUAUUGUGGUAAGUUGGGUCACUUUGCAAAAAAUUGUUACAAAAAGCAAAAUGAUUUGAAAGGAAAGAAGUUAAAUGCGGUAAUGCUGUUUUAUCCUAUGAUAAGCAAAAAUUUGAUAAUGGCCUGGUUCUUGUAAAUGUUGAAAGGAACCUAAAUCAAGAAUGGAUUCUUGAUUCAGGUUGCUCUUUUCACAUGUACCAUAAUAAAAAACUAUUUUUUGGAUUUUGAACAAACUAAAGGAGGCCAAGUUAUCAUGGGAAACAACAUGACCUGCAAAGUAAAAGGUAUUGGAAUCAUAAGAUUGCUUUUGGAAAAUGGCUACAGGGGCCAGAUUUGUUCCUGAAUUAGAAAGAAACCUUGUGUCUUUAGGAAUGUUGAAUGACAUAGAGUUUAACAAAAAAUUGGGUCAAUGACACAUAAAAAUAUUUAGGAAUAGUGAUUUGAUCACUUCUAUCCCAAAGAGAUAUGGUUUAUACUUUCGAAAUGCAAAACCUUUUAUGAGUCUUUCAGUAGUAGUUUUAGAUGAUGAAAUUAAUCUUGCAAAAUUGUGGCAUUGUAAGCUUCGUCACAUUGGGGUGAAAGGUUUAAAGACUUUACAAAAUAAAGGUGUAUUUGGAAAAUCAAAUAUUGGUGAAUUAUCUAAAUGUGAACAAUACUUGAUUGGAAAACAAGUUAAAUUACAUUUUUCCACUAAUACUCAUAAAUCAAAGCAAAUUUUAGAAUACUUACAUGCUGAUUUGUGGAGCCCUACAUCCACCCUUACAUUGUCUGGUUACAAGUAUUACUUAUUAAUAAUUAAUGAUUUCUCAAGAAAAAAUUGGGUAUUUCUUUUGAAAACCAAAGAUGAAAAACAUUUGCCACAUUUAAAGAAUGGAAAACCCAAAUUGAAAAUCAAAACUUUGAGAAUAGACAAUGGAUUAGAAUUUUGCAAUUAUGAGUUAAUGAUUUUUGCAAGUUGCAUGGUAUUCUAAGACAUAGAACUGUGACCUACACACCCUAGCAAAAUGGCAUUACAGAAAGAAUGAAUAGGACUUUGUUGAAUAAAGUUAUAAACAUGCUUUUGAGUUCUGGAUUACCCAAAUUAUUUUGGGGUGAAACUAUUAAAAUUGUUGCAUAUUUGAUUAAUAAAGUCCUACAAGUGCUUUGAAUUUUGAUGUGCCUGAAAGUGUGUGGACACAAAAGCCUGUAAUUUAUUCUUACUUGAAAAUAUUUGGUUGUGCUGCAUAUGCUCAUCAAAAUAUAGGAAAACAUGAACCUAGAUUCUUUAAAUAUGUGUUUUAGGGAUAUGUUGAAAAUAUUAAAGGAUAUAGAUUGUGGAUUUAUGAAAAAAAAGGUUACAGGUUUAUUAUAAGGAGGGAAAUGGUCUUUAAUGAGUCAUAUAUGUCAUAUUUGGAAGGAAAACAGGGAAAUUUGACUAAUAAUAAUGUCCAAAUUGAGGUGGAGCCUAUUAAAAUUGAUAAUACCAGAUCUGUCCCCCCCCACCCAUCCACCCACCCAAAACAACAACUAAUGAGGCUAACCAGAAUGAAAACGAACAUGAUUUGGCUGAACCUAAGCAAUAUGAUGACAAUAAUACACCUCUAGAUGAAUACCAGCUUACUAGAUAUAAGGAUAGGAGGCAAAUUAGACAACCUGUUAAGUUUAAUUGUGAUGACUUUGUGUCUUUGUUCACUUACCAAGAAGAAACUGAAUUUGAACCUAGUUCCUAUUAUGAAGCCUUGAAAUCUAAAGAUUCUAAGAGGUGGUUGAGUGCUAUGGAAGAAGGGAUGUCUUACCUAUACAAAAAUAAAACUUGGAAAUUGGUUGAUAGACCUAUGGACAAUAAGCUAGUUGAUUGCAAGUGGAUUUAUAAGAUCAAGGAAGGGGUGGCACUAAUAAUGUUAGAUACAAAGUUAGGCUUGUUGCGAAGGGUUUUACACAAAAGGAAGGUGUGGACUAUAAUGAGAUUUUUUCCGUCGUGGUUAAAUAUACAACUAUAAGAUGCAUUAUUUCUUUAGUUGUGCAAGUUAGAUAGAAACUUGAUCAACUAGAUGUAAAAACUGCUUUUCUUUAUAGUGAAUUAAAUAAAGUGAUCUACAUGAAACAACCUUGAAGAUUUAUUAUAGGAAAUCCUAAAAAAACUGUAUGUUUGUUGAAAAAAUCUUUGUAUGGCCUACAACAAACUCCAAGACAAUGGUAUAAAAGAUUCAAUUCAUUUGUCUUGAAGCUUGGGUUUAGUAGAAGCAAUUAUGAUACAUAUCUUUAUUGUAAAGGAUGUGGAGGUAAAUAUUCUUUGUAUCUUGUGCUUUAUGUUGAUGAUAUGCUUCUUGCUAGUGCCAAUAAAUCUGAAACUGAUGAUAUCAAACACAAAUUAAAAUUAGAAUUUGAUAUGAAGGAUCUUGGUUCUGCUAAGAAAAUACUUGGCAUACAAAUUAUAGGAGAUGAGAAAUCUGGUUGUUUGUUCUUAAGUCAACAAGAGUGUGAAUAGGAUCCUUAAGAAGUUUAAUAUGUUUGAUUGUAAACAUGUGACUUUACCCCUUGCUAAUCAUUUUAUAUCAACAUCUUAUUUGUGUCCAAAAACUGAAGAUGAACUUGAAAGGAUGCCUAAAAUACCUUAUACUAAUGCUAUUGGUUCAAUCAUGUACAUAAUGAUUUGCACCAUACUUGAUUUGGCUUUUAGUAUUAAUGUUUUGAGUAGAUUUAUGAGAAAUCGUGGUGAAUUUCAUUGGGAAGCAUUGAAGUGGUUAUUGAGAUACUUAAAAAGUUCGUCUAACUUAGGAUUGAUGUUUAAAAUGGACAAAAAGGGGAUAAUUUUAAAGGGUCAUAUAGAUUCUGAUUUUGCUGAAAAUAGAGACAAUAGAAAAUCAACUUCCUCGUAUUUUUACACUUUAUGUGGUACUGUGAUAAGUUGGAAAUCUCAGUUACAAAAAAUUGUUGCUUUAUCUUCCACGGAGGCUUAAUGUAUUGCAGCCACUGAUGCCAUUAAAGAAGGCAUAUGGUUGCAUAGUUUGUUGAAUGAACUUGGUUUUGUAAAUACUAUACAAUAUUGUAUUCUAACAAUCAAAGUGCAAUCCAUUUGAGUAAACAUCCCAUGUUCCAUGAUAGAACAAAAGAUGUUGAUGUAAAAUAUCAUUUUACAAAGGAUGUUAGUUUUAAAGGGUUGUUGAAAAUUAAUAAAAUACUUACUUUGUAUGAUCCAUCAAAUAUGGGAACUAAGGUGAUACCUUUAAAUAAGUUUCAAAACUGUUUAAAGAUGUUAUCUAUUGAUUCUUUUCAUUGAUUGUACAAGUACAAUAGAGCAAAUGACAUUAGAAAUGUCGGUGAAGCUCCUGGCUACACUAUAGCCUUAAAAAUUUUGGAAGCAAAGUGGAGAUUGUUGAGAUUCGAACUGCUAAACUAUGACUUGAAGAAGUGUGCUUCCAAAAUAGAGAAAAAUGUGUUUUUACAAUGAUAACUUAAUUAGUGGAAGCUCUUAACAAGAUCUUGACACGUGGUGACUUGGAGGCCGUCCAAUUGAAUUCUAGAUCCUUCCAUCCAUAAAGUCUCGUGACUCCUCUUUUGGACACAAGACGUUUGAGAGACUUCUUCUUAGUUUUCAGCCGACUCUCUGGUUUUCUCUCUUAGAAGAAGAAAAGAACCUUUCUUCUUCAUGGUUUAGGGUUUGUUUUUGAGUGGUUUUUUUGAAAAUGAAACCUGCAAACACCAAGAAAUACUCUAGAUACAAAUAGUUGUUGUGCUACUCUAGCUUCGGUUAGGUUGAAUCUGUAUGAUUCAAGUGAUCUGCCCGAUUUCUUGUAAGAUCUUAGUGAUCUAGUUUUUGUGGGUUCCGUGGUGGAACGUGACUUGCUGUGUGAUAUGCACCUGAUUCUUAGUGAUUCGAGAGAGGGCAGUUAGGUUUUUAGUGAGAUCUUUGUGAUCCAAUUUAAUUCCUUGUGGAAUAGUGGUUGGCUAUUGUUGUUC